rnacentral:rRNA from 1 species
GAUGAACGCUGGCGGCGUGCCUAAUACAUGUAAGUCGAGCGAACGGACGAGAAGCUUGCUUUUCUGAUGUUAGCGGCGGACGGGUGAGUAACACGUGGAUAACCUACCUAUAAGACUGGGAUAACUUCGGGAAACCGGAGCUAAUACCGGAUAAUAUUUUGAACCGCAUGGUUCAAAAGUGAAAGACGGUCUUGCUGUCACUUAUAGAUGGAUCCGCGCUGCAUUAGCUAGUUGGUAAGGUAACGGCUUACCAAGGCAACGAUGCAUAGCCGACCUGAGAGGGUGAUCGGCCACACUGGAACUGAGACACGGUCCAGACUCCUACGGGAGGCAGCAGUAGGGAAUCUUCCGCAAUGGGCGAAAGCCCGACGGAGCAACGCCGCGUGAGUGAUGAAGGUCUUCGGAUCGUAAAACUCUGUUAUUAGGGAAGAACAUAUGUGUAAGUAACUGUGCACAUCUUGACGGUACCUAAUCAGAAAGCCACGGCUAACUACGUG